CCCCUCUGGGCCGGCCCCGCCCCCAGCCGCCCGGUGUCCCGGCCGCGGUGGAGGGUGGGGGAUGCCGGGAGAAGGCGAUCGCACCUGGACCGCAGAAUGUCAGCCCCAGGAGGGCAGGAAUUUGCAUCUGGUGUCACUGCGGUGUUUCCCGCACCCAGUGAAGUCUCAGAGUCUGUCAAAGAUCAGGGUGUGUGGAUAAACAUUGCGCCCCUGACCCAGCUCCCAGGAUUCACAUCAAACAGGCUGCUUAUGAAAACCACUUUAAAUUAGAAAAGGUAAGAGGCAUCAGUGCACACAAAUGGGAACAGAGAGAGGAACAGAGGGCCCAGCCCCAUGUGAAUAUGACCACUCCAGAGCCCAGUGCGCAGCUGGGGGAGAAUCCCAGGAAGGCAUGGCAGUGGAGGCCAGGGUGAUGGUUCUUCUGGGUGUGGCUUCAGGCCACCUGGGCUCAGAGGUCCGCUUUCCGGAAACUUGCUCUGUUCAAGGAGUUCCUGGGGGAGGGAUGAGGUGGGUCAACAUGGCCAACUCCAUAGUACUCCUCAGCCUCCCCAACCCCCUUCUAAAGAUCCUUCUAGGGAUUCUGAUCCUUUCCCAUCCAUUUUGCUCUGGCCAUAAGUUCACAGAAUCUCUUUUGGAAUCUUCCACCAAAGCUAAUAAUUGUGCCCAUUUUAUAGAUGUGGAAAUCGCGGCCCAGGAAGGUGAAGUUGCAUGUCUGGGAAAUGACCUAGCUAGGAUUCCCAAGUGGCUACCAGGAGCCUGCCCAGCCUGCAUGCGUGUCCCCUACACAUGCCCAUGCCGUGAGCAUGCGUGUUGACAGGCAUGUGUAGGACAGCACCCGUUUGUGCCCGCCUCUGCCCUCUCGAUGGCUGGGGAGGCCGGGUCAGGCACCUGAGGCCCGCAGUGGUGGGUGCCAGCAGCUGGGGCAGGCGCUGGGUGAGCAGCGGCUGCAGAGCCUCCCGCAGGCGGGCAUAAUUCCGCUCUAGCUCCCGGUGGUACUCCUUCUGGUCGGGUCCUAUCAGGGCCUUGUUCUUCCGCAGGGCAUCCUCGCACCUGAGAGACAGAUGGCAGAAGAGGCUCAGGGGCUGGAAGUCAGGAGAAAGCAAGACUGGAGAGGUGGGGGGCGGUCCAGGCACGGGGACAGGGGUGGCAGGAGCUAUAAUGCAGGUCUGCUAGGUGGAGGAAACUUCAGGAGAACCAGAGAGGUGGGAGCGCCAUAUUGGACAUCCGGGCUACAGAGAGGCAGUAUGACGUCAGGAAGGCCAAGAGCCCAUGGUUGGGGGGCUCGGAGGGGUCAGGCCUACUUCUUGCAGAAGUCCUUGAAACAGAGCCGCAGCUUGUUGUGAUGCCUGAAGAGUUUGGGGUCUUCUGGGAUCUCUGCCAAAAAUACCUGGGCCACCUCCAGGGGUCCCUGCCAGGUGAGAGGGGCUCAUGAGGGUGUCUGCAUGGCCCCGGGGGUGCCUCGGAUGGCCUGCCCGCCCCACCGGCUGUACCUGGUUCACCGUGGGCCCCACAGAGCCCUGUAGCACCAUCUGUAGCAUCUUGGCAUCGGGCGGGUCCUGCUCGGUGGCGAAAGCCAGCUCCCGUGUCUUCUUCUGCAUGUCCUCGAUGGCCACCUCCACCGGUGUCAGCACUGUCUGUGGGGAGGGAGGCCGGGCAGUUGGCAGGCACUGGCUGCGGCCUGCAGAUGUCCUGACCCCAGCCAGCCUAGGGCAACCUGGCCCCCUGCUGGGGGUGGAGAGGGCUUCCAAGAGGCUGUGUCAUGAAUAGGGCGUGGGGAGUCUGCCUGCCUGGGUCUGGGGUAACCGGGCCUCCCCUGAUCUUGGGUCAUGGCCUUUCCCCUCCCAGGGUCCGGGGCCUCUGCCCACCUCCUCCCGGUGGCACACGCGGAUUCGCGUCUUGAUGUAGGGGAAGGCGUGGUCUGUGCUGAGCAGGGUCUUGCGUUUGUGCUGUUCCGGCAGCUCCCCAUGUGCACGGCCGUCGGGUGUGAAGGGCGUGCAGAAGAGGAAGGUGCGCAGCCCGUAGUUGCGGUCGAAGUAGGUCACCCGGUCCUUGAGCUCGUAGGUGUCGAAGUGCGGUUCCACGUAAGUGAUCUGGAUGUAGGCCUGGGACGCGGGGCUCAGGUAUGAGGCUCCCACAGCCCCAGUACACACACUUGGGGCUUGCCAGCCUCCCUGCAGGGCCCCAUCGCUGGAGAGAGGGGAUUUGGACCUCCUUGGGUUUGGGAGCUUUAAAUCUGGGGUUCCCACAGCUCCCAAAGCCUCGAUGUUCGAGAAACUUCCGAGAAAGAAGGAUUUGGGGUUCCUCAGGGAGAUAAGCUCUGAAGUGUGCCAGGGAUAGGAUUUGAGGGUCCCCAGGAAGUAGUGCUUUUGAGUCUCCCUGAAGAUAGGAUUUGGGGGUUCCCGGGAUGGUCAGGAGCCCUCCUCACCUUCUGUGGGUCAAGCUUGGUCUUGUCCACGGGGUUCGAAUCUUUGACAAUCUCGACCACGUCCUCCCCAAACCUCUCCGUGUAGAACUCCUGGGGACACGGGGCUGACUUGGGGCCGCAGAGGAACAGCAGCCCCCACGCCGCCCCAGCACAGCCCAGUGCCCGUCUACCCCCUACCGCCGGGACGUGCCUCCAGCCGGUGUGAGAUCUCAGCCAACUUGGUGAUGGAUGGCUCCUUAUACACAAACUCCUGCUCGUCCAGGUCGCCAAAGCGGGCACCAUAGAAGCCCACGCGGAAGUACGUCCCAAAAACGCGCUGCAUCUGUGAGAAGGGGAGCUGUGGCCCGGGACGCCUCUCUAGAGGUCCCCUUGCCUUGGGGAUGCAUGAUCCUGAGCCCCAUGGGCCAAAGAGUUCUUCAGAGUCUGGAUCUCAGUAUGAAAUCAGGACUACGGCUCUAUUGCUUACCACUGUGUCCUCAAUGCCUACAGGGCUGGGUAUACAGCAGGUGCUCAAUAAAUGCUUAAGUGGUUGAGGAAAUGCACAGCCCUCUAGGACAGAGGCUCUGUCUCCCUAGUUCCAGGGCACCCCCCUUCCCAACCAGGUAUCCCACCCUCUGCCAGAAAGGAAGAGGGUAGCUCCAUGUUCACUCACCAAGGCCGAUCCAGGCAGAAUGGGGCGGGCACAAGGGUAUUGGUAGGGAAGGGAGACACAAAGUCAUGGGAGAGGUCAGAGGUAAGAGCCCCCAACCCCCAGGGUCCUGGUUAUGCUGCCCUAGGAGUACCAUUCUUCGGGCAGAGGCCAGAGAUCCAGGGAAGGAGGGGACCUGCCCAUCCUACCCGGCCCCCACCCAGCCCUCCCAUCUUGGCUCUGGGUUCCUGCCUUCUUUGGCCAGAAAAUUCUCCCCAAACUAGGAGAUGCCUAAAAAUAGACCCAAGUGGGGAAGAGGCGGGAGAGGGGGAGCACGAGAUGGAAAUGAGGAGCAGAGAUCCUGGGAGAAGCUGGGGGAGACCGUGAGAGACAGAGACCCAGAGAACCAGAGAACCAGAGAGAGAGAGAGAGUGUGUGUGAGCAAGACAUGGAGGCAAAGAGACAGGGAAAGAGAUCACAAGACAGAGACAAGAAGGAACACAGAGACAGACAAGAAGAGAGUCAGAGCCCCCCCUCACAGGCAGUGACCAAGCUGGCCCUGCCCGAGGGAGGGGUGUCUCUGGAGAGCUCCCAGCUGGGUGAGUCACAGGCUGCCCUCGGGAUCUGGGGUAGGGAGGGGGCCCUGGGGGAAGCAGAGGGUGCGUCACUGCCCACUGAGCACCAACCCCUGUGGCCAGGCAGCUAUGUUCCUCCAGCACCCUCUGGUGGUCCCUGACCACUGCUGACCAGCCAUCAUGGGGGCCCCAGAGGCAGGUGGCCACUGGGCUGACUCACCUCCCAGCCGGAGCUCUGUGGGGGAGAGAAGGAUCAGCAUCAGCUGAGCUGUGAGGGAAAACUAGAACUCAGAGACAUGGCUCCCCAGGGCCAGGACCUGAACACCAGCCCUUUUGGUUUGGUGCCCAAGACCUCCACACCCAGCUACCUCCUGGGACAUGGUAAUGGCUGCUCCUAAGUGCCCCUGACCCACAGCUGGUACCAGCAUCGAGCCGGGCACACACCAGACACCCUGGAACAUUUGGUGGCCAACUGUGAGCGGUCUGUGUCUACUGUCUAAUUUAUUCCCAAGGCUUUUGUUUCUGAGCCUUUAACACAAUGACUAUAAUGAAAACCCCACUAUUGGGGCUGGCAGCAUAGAAAAGAUUUCUCUCUGGAAAACCUGACCUUGAAUCUGAGCAGGGCUCUGGAUCUGAUCACCAGUUCCCAUAAACACGGGGAAGUGAGGAACAGGUAAAGCAACACCACUGGAUGCAGCCAGAGCCCUGGCUGGGCCAGAAAACCCCUUGGAACAAAGCCGAGGUCCCAACAAGUGAAAUGCAAGGGAAAAUCCAAUUGCUUUCACUCAAGCAAGCCAACUGGAGAAAACCUUUUUAGAGCAGUGGACAAUACAACACCUGGGCUUCAACCUAUUAAGGAAAACAUUAAAAACCCUAUUGUAAAAAGUGGGGAACUGAUGCCCUCUCAUUCUUGUUUUCUUUCUUUGAUUCAAAGAGCCUUAAGAGACUUGUCAGUCACAGCCACUGUGAGUUUUUACAUGAAUCCUGAUCCGAACAAAUCAAUUGCAAAAAGAAAAUGGUUUCGAGAUUGUCAGAGACAUCUAAGCGCGGACUGGUAUUAAAGAGUUGAAUAAACGAUUUCAUCAGGGACAACUGAGUAGUGGCUCAGUUGGUUAAGCUGCUGCCUUUGGCUCAGGUCAUGAUUCCAGGGUCCUGGGAUUGAGUCCCACAUUGGGAUCUUUGCUCAGUGGGGAGCCUGCUUCUCUCUCUGUCUCUACUUUCUUGUGCUCUCUUUUUCUCUGACAAAUAAAUAAAUCAAUAAAAUCUUUAAAAAAAAUAAAAA